rnacentral:rRNA from 1 species
GACGAACGCUGGCGGCGUGCUUAACACAUGCAAGUCGAACGGAAAGGCCCUGCGUUUGUGGGGUGCUCGAGUGGCGAACGGGUGAGUAACACGUGAGUAACCUGCCCUUGACUUUGGGAUAACUUCAGGAAACUGGGGCUAAUACCGGAGAGGAGCUCCUGCUGCAUGGUGGUGGUUGGAAAGUUUCGGCGGUUGGGGCUGGACUCGCGGCUUAUCAGCUUGUUGGUGGGGUAGUGGCUUACCAAGGCUUUGACGGGUAGCCGGCCUGAGAGGGUGACCGGCCACCUUGGGACUACGAUACGGACCAGACUCCUACGGGAGGCAGCAGUGGGGAAUAUUGCACAGUGGGCGGAAGCCUGAUGCAGCAACGCCGCGUGCGGGAUGACGGCCUUCGGGUUGUAAACAGCUUUCGCCUGUGACGAAGCGUGCGUGACGGUAAUGGGUAAAGAAGCACCGGCUAACUACGUG